rnacentral:rRNA from 1 species
UGAGGAAUAUUGGUCAAUGGGCGAGAGCCUGAACCAGCCAAGUCGCGUGAAGGAAGACAGUCCUAAGGAUUGUAAACUUCUUUUAUACGGGAAUAACGGGCGAUACGAGUAUUGCAUUGAAUGUACCGCAACAAUAAGCAUCGGCUAACUCCGUGCCAGCAGCCGCGGUAAUACGGAGGAUGCGAGCGUUAUCCGGAUUUAUUUGGUUUAAAGGGUGCGUAGGUUGUUCGGUAAGUCAGCGGUGAAACCUGUGCGCUAAACGUUGAGCCUGCCGUUGAAACUGCCGGGCUUGAGUGCAGUGGCGGCAGGCGGAAUUCGUAGUGUAGCGGUGAAAUGCAUAGAUAUAACGAGGAACUCCGAUUGCGAAGGCAGCUUGCCAUACUGCGACUGACACUGAAGCACGCAGGCGUGGGUAUCAAACAGG